UCUUCCCUCUUUCUUCGUGCCUAAUACAUGCAAGUCGAGCGAACGGACGAGAAGCUUGCUUCUCUGAUGUUAGCGGCGGACGGGUGAGUAACACGUGGAUAACCUACCUAUAAGACUGGGAUAACUUCGGGAAACCGGAGCUAAUACCGGAUGAUAUUUUGAACCGCAUGGUUCAAAAGUGAAAGACGGUCUUGCUGUCACUUAUAGAUGGAUCCGCGCUGCAUUAGCUAGUUGGUAAGGUAACGGCUUACCAAGGCAACGAUGCAUAGGCGACCUGAGAGGGUGAUCGGCCACACUGGAACUGAGACACGGUCCAGACUCCUACGGGAGGCAGCAGUAGGGAAUCUUCCGCAAUGGGCGAAAGCCUGACGGAGCAACGCCGCGUGAGUGAUGACGGUCUUCGGAUCGUAAAACUCUGUUAUUAGGGAAGAACAUAUGUGUAAGUAACUGUGCACAUCUUGACGGUACCUAAUCAGAAAGCCACGGCUAACUACGUG
rnacentral:rRNA from 1 species